rnacentral:rRNA from 1 species
GGCGGCGUGCUUAACACAUGCAAGUCGAGCGGAAAGGCCCUUCGGGGUACUCGAGCGGCGAACGGGUGAGUAACACGUGAGCAACCUGCCCUAGGCUUUGGGAUAACCCUCGGAAACGGGGGCUAAUACCGGAUAUUCACUUGCAGACGCAUGUUUGUGGGUGGAAAGUUUUUCGGCUUGGGAUGGGCUCGCGGCCUAUCAGCUUGUUGGUGGGGUGAUGGCCUACCAAGGCGACGACGGGUAGCCGGCCUGAGAGGGCGACCGGCCACACUGAGACUGAGACACGGCCCAGACUCCUACGGGAGGCAGCAGUGGGGAAUAUUGCACAAUGGGCGGAAGCCUGAUGCAGCGACGCCGCGUGAGGGAUGACGGCCUUCGGGUUGUAAACCUCUUUCAGCAGGGACGAAGCGCAAGUGACGGUACCUGCAGAAGAAGCGCCGGCCAACUACGUGCCAGCAGCCGCGGUAAUACGUAGGGCGCGAGCGUUGUCCGGAUUUAUUGGGCGUAAAGAGCUCGUAGGCGGCUUGUCGCGUCGACUGUGAAAACCCGCGGCUCAACUGCGGGCCUGCAGUCGAUACGGGCAGGCUAGAGUUCGGUAGGGGAGACUGGAAUUCCUGGUGUAGCGGUGAAAUGCGCAGAUAUCAGGAGGAACACCGGUGGCGAAGGCGGGUCUCUGGGCCGAUACUGACGCUGAGGAGCGAAAGCGUGGGGAGCGAACAGGAUUAGAUACCCUGGUAGUCCACGCUGUAAACGUUGGGCGCUAGGUGUGGGGGGCCUCUCCGGUUCUCUGUGCCGCAGCUAACGCAUUAAGCGCCCCGCCUGGGGAGUACGGCCGC